rnacentral:rRNA from 1 species
ACGAAUAACCCGCCUUCGCGCGGUCAUAGAGUGGCGAACGGGUGAGUAACACGUGACCAACCUGCCCCGCACCCCGGGACAACCGCCGGAAACGGCGGCUAAUACCGGAUACUCCGGGCCUCGCGCAUGCGCGGCCCGGGAAAGCCCAGACGGUGCGGGAUGGGGUCGCGGCCCAUUAGGUAGUAGGCGGGGCAACGGCCCACCUAGCCUGCGAUGGGUAGCCGGCCUGAGAGGGCGAUCGGCCACAUUGGGACUGAGAUACGGCCCAGACUCCUACGGGAGGCAGCAGUGGGGAAUAUUGCGCAAUGGGGGCAACCCUGACGCAGCAACGCCGCGUGCGGGACGAAGGCCUUCGGGUUGUAAACCGCUUUCAGCAGGGAAGAACCAUGACGGUACCUGCAGAAGAAGCCCCGGCUAACUACGUGCCAGCAGCCGCGGUAAUACGUAGGGGGCGAGCGUUAUCCGGAUUCAUUGGGCGUAAAGCGCGCGUAGGCGGCCCGCUAAGCGGGACCUCUAACCUGGGGGCUCUAC